AAUAGUUUUAUGCCACAUCAAUACUCUUAUCUUGAAUUUCAGGAUUUUAUCCUGAAAAAAAUCAAAUCCAAAUUAAAAUACUGAAAUUCAGGAUAAGAAUACUGAUGUGGCAUAAAAUUAUU
rfam:Gossypium hirsutum cultivar TM-1 chromosome 24, whole genome shotgun sequence